rnacentral:lncRNA from 1 species
ACGUUCCUGCAUUUGAUUUAAGCCGAGUACAUGUGAUCUCAGUUGUCUAGUAUGCAAAACAUAUUGGACACAGUAAUAUAAUUCUUCUCUGUGCAGCUAUUUUAUCCUAUGCGCCGAGGGUCGUUUGGAAACAGCCUCUCUGCCCUUUCGGGUAGGGGUANNNNNNNNNNNNNNNNNNNNNNNNNNNNNNNNNNNNNNNNNNNNNNNNGCCUCUCUGCCCUUUCGGGUAGGGGUAAGGCUCGUCUACAUAAUACCCUCCCCAGACCCCACCUGGUGGGAGUAUACUGGGUAGUUGUUGUUGUUGUGCAGCUAUUUUAGCCUGUAUAGCUCUGACAUGUAUAUAAUAUGUCACAUAAUUCUAAUGAUUAAUGUAUAUAAAGGAUUCUCAGAUGCAUGAUACAUCCCCACUCAAAUCAUCAGUUCUAAACUUUAGUUUAUAUGCGAUGUGACUAAACUUUAGUUUAGCAAUCCUCCUAUUGCUACUUAAAACCCGUUUUGUAAGAAUUGUUUGUCACUUGCAUUGACAAGGCUGGGAUUGGAGAUCUAUUCUGCUAAAAAAAUACUGUGUUAUUUGAGCACAUAUAAUACCUGAUGGUAGUAUUAUGUCUAGUUGCACUUAGUGGUCAGUGCAGCAGAGGGGGGCAGGAGGAGAAUCAUGAGGUAUUCAGUUCAAAUUUCAUUGGAGGCAAAAAAUGAAAAAUAUUUGGUGGUUUCUUUUUAUUUGGUCAAGUGUAUUAAUGGACAGAGUUACCCGGUACUUGUGUUUUAAUGGAAGAUAGCACGUACCUGAUAGAAUAAUUGAGGUGCAUGCAAGAUGAUCGAAAGUCAUUGUUAUAAAAAAAGGUAUCAUAUAUUAUCAUAAUUAUUAUGAUGGUCGUGUUCAUCAUGGACUUGCCAUGCCAUUUGGGUCGGUUAAGCUCAUGCGAUGCGAACGUAAAUAAGGAAUGCCCUUAUCAAAAAAAUAAAAAUAAUUAUUUAAGCUUUAGAAGCUUAACACGCACGAAAGGUCUACUUAUUGGUUAGCGUUGACUUCUCU